rnacentral:lncRNA from 1 species
CUACAACCUCCAGGUAUGAGUACCAAGGGAAACAAGCCAAGCUGACGUCAACUUAUAAGAGGCACUGCCAGUGAAGAAAAUGACACUUGCAAACGGGGCUUUUGCUGCUUUCCUGCUUGUGGAUUUCCCUAGAAGGGAAGUGAAUUCAUCGAAGGAAGAAGCCAGAGUGCUCCAGUCCUGCUGCUAGACCUGUCUGCAAGCUGUGGCAUCUCGGGUACAGGAGUGUGAAGAACGACUGGAGCGUUAAAUAAGGACGUGGAUAAGUGUGGCAAUUCCCUGCUGACUGCCAGAACAGCCUGCAGAGCAGAGACUGAGGCCAGCCUCUCUUCCCCUCCAAGU